rnacentral:tRNA from 1 species
UGCGGGGUGGAGCAGUCUGGUAGCUCGUCGGGCUCAUAACCCGAAGGUCGCAGGUUCGAAUCCUGCCCCCGCGACCA